GACAGCAAUAGUUUUCUCUCAUCUCCAAACAACGGACUAGGUGUACCUGCCUGGAGAGUUGUGUUGGGAAGGGUUUUAAGACCACAUCCAAAAAGAAAGAGGGUUUUGGUUGAUUGACGAGUUCGUGGGCAUAAGCCUAAUGACUGCUUUAUGGCUGAGAAAUGGUGGAGGAAGCGACUGAGACUGAAGAGAUGAAGAAACUGAGGCACACAGGGAGACACAGACGUGGCCUUCCCAGCAGUACUCAGGUUUUCUCCUUCCUAACCUCCUGCCCUUUCCUUGUGUUUUAGGCAUUGGCUAAUGAAUUUAAAUGAAACAAUUGCUCGUGUCUGCCAAAAGCUGCAUAGAGGAACCUGGGCUGUGUAUUAUGGCUGAUAUGAUACUAGUCUUCCGAACGGAAGGUGGGGGUGGGAGGAGAUCCUGGCAUUUGCCAUCUGGUAAGCCUGUCUUUAAUCCUCAGUAAAGUAAUGGAAUGGAGAUGAGGAAAAAAAUGUGUAAGAAUCAAAAGCAUAAUGCCACCAUGAGCAAGCAGCUGUCUGGAUUUUUAAAGAGCAAAUUCCAUGAGACAAAUUUAAUUGCAUUUUUUAAUAGAAUUAAAAAAAGUCCACAACAUUAGUGGGUGAAGGAAAUGAAAUGGAUGUAUCCAAAAAUCUCACUUGAAAGAUGAAUUCAGCGGGGCUGGUUCUGAGCUGUCUUCUGUAUUGAAACCCGGCUGGAAGGCCACGUGAGCAGCGGUGGGAGGCCAUGGAGUGGCUGGGAGAUGGUGGCCAGCGGCGUGCUUCUGGCAGGCUCUGAGAUGGGCCGGCGCCUACAGAGCAUCAUUAUUAAUGACUUGCAGGAGGUGAUGAGCAGAACAUUAAUUAAAUGUGCACAUGUGGCCAAGUGGGAAAUUGGCGGCGAAAACACCAGAGAGGCAGGCACGUAAUACCCAGAACCUCAGCUGGAACAGCUCAAGUAUUAAUGCCGGGUUAAGCUGCACUUUCUGCGUAAGAACCAACUUUGGCUUUGUAUGUCAGACUGAAACAACACUUCCAUCUUGCGUUGCUUCAAAUGUAAGUACAGUUUGUGGGUCUCCAGGAAGAUCCCCAGGCUCCAUUUUGCUGGCAAAUAGUCGUUAAGA
rnacentral:lncRNA from 1 species